rnacentral:rRNA from 1 species
AUGGUCCCUGGGUUCCCUUUAUUGGAACUAUGUUCCUUUUUUAUUUUUGUUUCCAAUUGGUCGGGGUGCUCUUUUACCUUGGAAAAUUAUAGAGUUACCCCAUGGGAAUUAGCAGCGCCCACGAAUGAUAUAAAUACUACAGUUGUUUUAGCUUUACUCACGUCAGCGGCAUAUUUUUAUGCUGGUCUUAGCAAAAAAGGAUUAAGCUAUUUCGAGAAAUACAUUAAACCAACUCCAAUCCUUUUACCAAUUAACAUCCUAGAAGAUUUCACAAAACCAUUAUCGCUUAGCUUUCGACUUUUCGGGAAUAUAUUGGUGGAUGAAUUAGUCGCUGUUGUUCUUGUUUCUUUAGUCCCCUUAGUAAUCCCUAUACCGGCCAUGUUUCUUGGAUUAUUUACAAGCGGUAUUCAAGCUCUUAUUUUUGCAACAUUAGCCGCAACCUAUAUAGGUGAAUCCAUGGAGGGUCAUCAUUGA